UGGGGAAUUUUGGACAAUGGGCGCAAGCCUGAUCCAGCCAUGCCGCGUGCGGGAAGAAGGCCUUCGGGUUGUAAACCGCUUUUGUCAGGGAAGAAAUCUUCUGAGUUAAUACCUCGGGAGGAUGACGGUACCUGAAGAAUAAGCACCGGCUAACUACGUGCCAGCAGCCGCGGUAAUACGUAGGGUGCAAGCGUUAAUCGGAAUUACUGGGCGUAAAGCGUGCGCAGGCGGUUUUGUAAGACAGAGGUGAAAUCCCCGGGCUCAACCUGGGAACUGCCUUUGUGACUGCAAGGCUUGAGUGCGGCAGAGGGGGAUGGAAUUCCGCGUGUGGCAGUGAAAUGCGUAGAUAUGCGGAGGAACACCGAUGGCGAAGGCAAUCCCCUGGGCCUGCACUGACGCUCAUGCACGAAAGCGUGGGGAGCAAAACAGGAUUAGAUACCCUGGUAGUCCACGCCCUAAACGAUGUCAACUGGUUGUUGGGAAGGUUCCUUCUCAGUAACGUAGCUAACGCGUGAAGUUGACCGCCUGGGGAGUACGGCCGCAAGGUUGAAACUUAAAUGAAUUGACGGGGUCAUAGCUGUUU
rnacentral:rRNA from 1 species